rnacentral:rRNA from 1 species
GAUGAACGCUGGCGGCGUGCCUAAUACAUGCAAGUCGAGCGAACAGACGAGGAGCUUGCUCCUCUGACGUUAGCGGCGGACGGGUGAGUAACACGUGGAUAACCUACCUAUAAGACUGGGAUAACUUCGGGAAACCGGAGCUAAUACCGGAUAAUAUAUUGAACCGCAUGGUUCAAUAGUGAAAGACGGUUUUGCUGUCACUUAUAGAUGGAUCCGCGCCGCAUUAGCUAGUUGGUAAGGUAACGGCUUACCAAGGCAACGAUGCGUAGCCGACCUGAGAGGGUGAUCGCCCCCACGGGAACUGAGACCCGGUCCGGCCUCCUGCGGGAGGCCGCAGUAGGGACUCUUCCGAAAUGGGCGAACCCCUGACGGCGCAGCCCCGCGUGAUUGAUAAAGGUCUUCGUAUCUAAAAACUCUUUUAUUGGGAAAAAACAAAUUUGAAAGAAACUAUGCACGUCUGGACGGGCCCUAAUCAGAAAGCCACGCCUAACUACGCC